rnacentral:rRNA from 1 species
AUUGAACGCUGGCGGAAUGCUUUACACAUGCAAGUCGAACGGCAGCACGGACUUCGGUCUGGUGGCGAGUGGCGAACGGGUGAGUAACAUAUCGGAACGUAUCCAAUAAUGGGGGAGAACGAGUCGAAAGAUUCGCUAAUACCGCAUACGCCCUACGGGGGAAAGGUGGGUAACUUCGGGCCUGGCGUUAAUGGAGCGGCCGAUAUCUGAUUAGCUAGUUGGUGAGGUAAAGGCUCACCAAGGCGACGAUCAGUAGCUGGUCUGAGAGGACGACCAGCCACACUGGAACUGAGACACGGUCCAGACUCCUACGGGAGGCAGCAGUGGGGAAUUUUGGACAAUGGGCGCAAGCCUGAUCCAGCCAUUCCGCGUGAGUGAAGAAGGCCUUCGGGUUGUAAAGCUCUUUCGCAAGGGAAGAAAACUUAGCCACUAACAUUGGUUGAGGUUGACGGUACCUUGAUAAGAAGCACCGGCUAACUACGUGCCAGCCGCCGCGGUAA